UUUUUUUUCUGUAAAGAACUGGAGUUGGUAAAUGUUUUGUUCAGGCUCAGAGUGCUCUGCUGCAACAUCCUGACUAUUCUCCUGUAGUACCAAAGCAGCCACAGGCAAGGUCAACCCAUGAGCGUGGCUGUGUUCCAAUAAAAUUUCAUUUACCCAAACAGGUGGCCGGUCAGGCUUGGCCCACAUUGGCUCUCAAACCACUGCAAUGAUCCAGAGGAGAGACAAAGUUGGCUUGGAUGAGAUUUAACAAUGAAGGUGACAAGAAUGAAGGUGACUGGCUGUGUUUUGAAGGAAGUGUGGGUAAGAUUUACUGUCAGACCAAAUGUGGGGUAUGAGAAACCACAGAGUCAAGUAUAACUCCACUUUGACCCUGAGUGACUAGAGAAAUGCACUUAGCUGCUAUGGAAAUGAGGACAAGCAAGAAGGAAGACGGGCAGGGAGAAGGGGAUCAGGCUGGAAUGGGAGAAUUUAAGAUGCCUUUAGGAUAAAGAAAAUUGGGUUAGAUGUUCCCUAACUUCCCUACCAGCUCUAAUAAUCUAUGAUCCCACAACUGAGAGCCAAUAACAUCUACCCCAGGCAGCUUCUGCUGUGACCACAUUCUUUAGGGAGACCUUCCACACCACAUUACUCCAUCUUUCCCAAUGCAGUUGGUGACUAUGCUGGCUAGAGAUCAGUUGCUCGAAGGAAGAAACACUGCGAGGGAAGAAGCAACUGCCAGCUGAAAGCAGCAGGGGCACUUGGAAGAGUGGCGUAAAUGGUAUAUGUGCCCUAGGAGGCUUCGAGGGCUAGAGGCAAAUUCCUGCGUAUCUUAGUUUCCUGGAGGUUAUUCAUAAUGGAGGGUUGUCAGUCGACCAGGCUAAGAAUGUUCAACUCGUUUUUCAAAGAAAAGCGAAGCUACUUAUGCUUUACUUCUGCUCCUUGCUUCAGACAUGUCACCCUCUUCAGAGAUUCCCUGAGCCUGUGUACAUCCAGAGAGCUUCCAUAUACCCGCAGGAAACAGCCAGGGUCUUUGCCUACAGUCGCUUCUCCAGGCAAUUUCCUCCCUCUUCCCUCUUAUCUGUCCUCACUGGGAACUGAGUCUUCUCUCUGCCCAAACUCUUUCCAUCCAAGCAGUGGCUCUGUGCCAGGGGGGUUGUUUGUUGGAUAGGGCCGGCAAGUCACAUUGGGAGUGUGCUUAUCGUAAUAUAUUUAAAAUAUGAGCAUUUAUCAGAAGCAGCAGAUGGAGGCAGCAGAGUGGAGCUCCCAGAACUGAGGGCAGGGAGUGUUUCAUUCAAGUGCAAAGCGUGCACCAUCUAUACUCAGCUGGCACUAGCUCAUAAAACCAGUGAAGAGAAGGAAAAAAGAGAAAUAGAAGAAAAGGCCACCUUUGUGCUAGGUUUGGGAGGUCACAGUGUUCCCUGACCUUGAGUCCUCGGUGUCUCAAAGACAGCAUUCACUUUAGGAUGGGAAGAGCAAACCUCUCUUUAAUAUUUUCUGCUUUCUUAAAGCUUACUCAUUUUAAUAAAAAUCUGAAGCUCAAAACAAAUGGAAACAGAUCAUUUCAUUUAUGUAUAUGUGCAUGAAUUCCUUCAACAAAUGUUUGUGACAUGACUCGGUCAUGCCAGAAGCCAUGGAAUACUCUGGGACAGAGAAGGGAGAGACAG
rnacentral:lncRNA from 1 species